rnacentral:lncRNA from 1 species
CCCAAUGGGUGGCAUAACAUGUGUUGAGUUGGCUAACAUAGUCAUCAAUAAACAUAAGAUCAUGUAAUAAAAAGGGAUUACAACAUCUAUAGGGUCAAGCACAACUUCUAAUCCUCAAUAUCAUUAUACAUAACAUAACUAUUCAGUUAUACAUCAUCUUACAAUUUAUCAUGUCCACUUUCUAACUAUUACAAACAUAAGACUUUACUCUUCUUGACUUCUCUGUCUAGCCCGUACCUGCAAUCCUGGG